GGAAUCUUCCACAAUGGGCGAAAGCCUGAUGGAGCAACGCCGCGUGUGUGAUGAAGGGUUUCGGCUCGUAAAACACUGUUGUAAGAGAAGAAAGACAUUGAGAGUAACUGUUCAAUGUGUGACGGUAUCUUACCAGAAAGGAACGGCUAAAUACGUGCCAG
rnacentral:rRNA from 1 species